rnacentral:rRNA from 1 species
GAUGAACGCUGGCGGCGUGCCUAAUACAUGCAAGUCGAGCGAACAGACGAGGAGCUUGCUCCUCUGACGUUAGCGGCGGACGGGUGAGUAACACGUGGAUAACCUACCUAUAAGACUGGGAUAACUUCGGGAAACCGGAGCUAAUACCGGAUAACAUGUUGAACCGCAUGGUUCAACAGUGAAAGACGGUUUUGCUGUCACUUAUAGAUGGAUCCGCGUCGCAUUAGCUAGUUGGUAAGGUAACGGUUUACCAAGGCAACGAUGCGUAGCCGACCUGAGAGGGUGGUCGGCCACACUGGAACUGAGACACGGUCCAGACUCCUACGGGAGGCAGCAGUAGGGAAUCUUCCGCGAUGGGCGAAAGCCUGACGGAGCAACGCCGCGUGAGUGAAGAAGGUCUUCGGAUCGUAAAACUCUGUUAUUAGGGAAGAACAAAUGUGUAAGUAACUAUGCACGUCUUGACGGUACCUAAUCAGAAAGCCACGGCUAACUACGUG